AUUGAACGCUGGCGGUAUGCUUAACACAUGCAAGUCGAACGGUAACAUAGCUAGCUUGCUAGCUGAUGACGAGUGGCGGACGGCUGAGUAUAACGUAGGAAUCUACCUAGUAGUUGGGGAUAAGCCAGAGAAAUUUGGUCUAAUACCGAAUACGCCCUACGGGGGAAAGCGGGGGAUCUUCGGACCUCGCACUAUUAGAUGAGCCUACGCCGGAUUAGCUAGUUGGUGGGGUAAUGGCCCACCAAGGCGACGAUCCGUAGCUGUUCUGAGAGGAUGAUCAGCCACACUGGGACUGAGACACGGCCCAG
rnacentral:rRNA from 1 species